ACUCCUACGGGAGGCAGCAGUGGGGAAUAUUGGACAAUGGGCGAAAGCCUGAUCCAGCAAUGCCGCGUGUGUGAAGAAGGCCUUCGGGUUGUAAAGCACUUUUAUCAGGAGCGAAAUACUGCCGGCUAAUCCCCGGCGGGGCCGGCGU
rnacentral:rRNA from 1 species